rnacentral:rRNA from 1 species
ACGCUCGACACCUAGGAGGCAGCAGUGGGGAAUAUUGCACAAUGGGGGAAACCCUGAUGCAGCGACGCCGCGUGAGCGAAGAAGUAUCUCGGUAUGUAAAGCUCUAUCAGCAGGGAAGAAGAUGACGGUACCUGACUAAGAAGCACCGGCUAAAUACGUGCCCGCAGCUGCGGUAAUCUGAGCGGGCUGGCAAGGC